GCGGCGUGCUUCAUACAUGCAAGUCGAACGAGAAGCAGGAGCUUGCUCCUGUGGAAAGUGGCGGACGGGUGAGUAACACGUAGGAAAUCUGCCUUUGGGUGGGGGACAACAGUUGGAAACGACUGCUAAUACCCCAUAUGAGCUUGGUUGCAAUACCAAUCUUGAAAACUCCGGUGCCUAAAGAUGAGCCUGCGUCUGAUUAGCUUGUUGGCGGGGUAAUGGCCCACCAAGGCGACGAUCAGUAGCUGGUUUGAGAGGAUGGUCAGCCACAAUGGGACUGAGACACGGCCCAUACUCCUACGGGAGGCAGCAGUAGGGAAUCUUGCGCAAUGGGGGAAACCCUGACGCAGCAACGCCGCGUGCAUGACGAAGCCCUUCGGGGUGUUCAGUUCUGUCAGUAGGGAAGAAUUUUGACUGUACCUACAAAGGAAGCACCGGCUAACUCCGUGCCAGCCGCCGCAGUAA
rnacentral:rRNA from 1 species